GACGAACGCUGGCGGCGUGCUUAGCACAUGCAAGUCGAACGGAAAGGCCCUGCUUUUGUGGGGUGCUCGAGUGGCGAACGGGUGAGUAACACGUGAGUAACCUGCCCUUGACUUUGGGAUAACUUCAGGAAACUGGGGCUAAUACCCGAUAGGAGCUCCUGCUGCAUGGUGGGGGUUGGAAAGUUUCGGCGGUUGGGGAUGGACUCGCGGCUUAUCAGCUUGUUGGUGGGGUAGUGGCUUACCAAGGCUUUGACGGGUAGCCGGCCUGAGAGGGUGACCGGCCACAUUGGGACUGAGAUACGGCCCAGACUCCUACGGGAGGCAGCAGUGGGGAAUAUUGCACAAUGGGCGGAAGCCUGAUGCAGCAACGCCGCGUGCGGGAUGACGGCCUUCGGGUUGUAAACCGCUUUCGCCUGUGACGAAGCGUGAGUGACGGUAAUGGGUAAAGAAGCACCGGCUAACUACGUG
rnacentral:rRNA from 1 species